rnacentral:piRNA from 1 species
CAGGAUAGCCAGAGCUACAUAGUG